GACGAACGCUGGCGGCGUGCUUAACACAUGCAAGUCGAACGGAAAGGCCCUGCUUUUGUGGGGUGCUCGAGUGGCGAACGGGUGAGUAACACGUGAGUAACCUGCCCUUGACUUUGGGAUAACUUCAGGAAACUGGGGCUAAUACCGGAUAGGAGCUCCUGCUGCAUGGUGGGGGUUGGAAAGUUUCGGCGGUUGGGGAUGGGCCCGCGGCUUAUCAGCUUGUUGGUGGGGUAGUGGCUUACCAAGGCUUUGACGGGUAGCCGGCCUGAGAGGGUGACCGGCCACAUUGGGACUGAGAUACGGCCCAGACUCCUACGGGAGGCAGCAGUGGGGAAUAUUGCACAAUGGGCGGAAGCCUGAUGCAGCAACGCCGCGUGCGGGAUGACGGCCUUCGGGUUGUAAACCGCUUUCGCCUGUGACGAAGCGUGAGUGACGGUAAUGGGUAAAGAAGCACCGGCUAACUACGUG
rnacentral:rRNA from 1 species